ACUUAGAUAGCUUAAUACAAAGCGUAGUUUUGAAGCAACUAAAAUGAUCCUGAUCUUUAAGUA
rnacentral:tRNA from 1 species